rnacentral:snRNA from 1 species
GUGCUCUCUUUGGCAGCAUAUAUACUAAAAUUGGAACAAUAGAGAUUAGCAUGGCCCCUGCACAUUGUGAAGCAUCCCACAUUUUU